UUGAGAGUUUGAUCCUGGCUCAGAACGAACGCUGGCGGCAGGCUUAACACAUGCAAGUCGAACGAACUCUUCGGAGUUAGUGGCAGACGGGUGAGUAACGCGUGGGAAUAUACCUUUCGGUACGGAACAACAGUUGGAAACGACUGCUAAUACCGUAUGCGCCCUAUGGGGGAAAGAUUUAUCGCCGAAGGAUUAGCCCGCGUUGGAUUAGCUAGUUGGUGGGGUAAAGGCCUACCAAGGCGACGAUC
rnacentral:rRNA from 1 species